UGAGGGCAGUUGCUAUGGCGUUGAGGUAGAUCCGACCACCCCCAUUAACAGGGACAAAAUCCGGAUUUAAAACACUGGAUGAUGAUGAUGAGCAUGCUUAAAAGAGUAA